rnacentral:rRNA from 1 species
CAUGCAAGUCGAACGGAAAUCUUUUAGAGAAAUCUUUUGGAUUUUAGUGGCGAACGGGUGAGUAACACGUAAGCAACCUGCCUUUAAGACGAGAAUAACAAUUGGAAACAGUUGCUAAGGCUGGAUAGGAAAUAAAAAGGCAUCUUUUUAUUUUUAAAAGACCUUCUUCGGAGGGUAUGCUUAAAGAGGGGCUUGCGUCACAUUAGUUAGUUGGUAGGGUAAUGGCCUACCAAGACGAUGAUGUGUAGCUGGACUGAGAGGUUGAACAGCCACAUUGGGACUGAGACACGGCCCAAACUCCUACGGGAGGCAGCAGUAGGGAAUUUUCGGCAAUGGAGGAAACUCUGACCGAGCAACGCCGCGUGAACGACGAAGUACUUCGGUAUGUAAAGUUCUUUUAUUGAAGAAGAAACAAUAGUGGAAAAACUAUCUUGACGUUAUUCAAUGAAUAAGCCCCGGCUAACUAUGUGCCAGCAGCCGCGGUAAUACAUAGGGGGCGAGCGUUAUCCGGAAUUAUUGGGCGUAAAGGGUGCGUAGGCGGUUUAAUAAGUCUCUAGUUUAAUUUCAACGCUUAACGUUGUUCUGCUAGAGAAACUGUUUGACUAGAGUGAGAUAGAGGUAAGCGGAAUUCCAUGUGUAGCGGUAAAAUGUGUAAAUAUAUGGAGGAACACCAGAGGCGUAGGCGGCUUACUGGGUCUUUACUGACGCUGAUGCACGAAAGCGUGGGGAGCAAACAGGAUUAGAUACCCUGGUAGUCCACGCCGUAAACUAUGAGUACUAAGUGUCGGGGUUAAACUCGGUACUGAAGUUAACACAUUAAGUACUCCGCCUGAGUAGUACGUACGCAAGUAUGAAACUUAAAGGAAUUGACGGGAUCCCGCACAAGCGGUGGAUCAUGUUGUUUAAUUCGAAGAUACACGAAAAACCUUACCAGGUCUUGACAUACUCUGCAAAACUAUAGAAGUAUAGUGGAGGUUAUCAGGGAUACAGGUGGUGCAUGGUUGUCGUCAGCUCGUGUCGUGAGAUGUUAGGUUAAGUUCUAAAACGAGCGCAACCCCUGUCGUUAAUUGCCAGCACGUUAUGGUGGGGACUUUAGCGAGACUGCCAAUGAAAAAUUGGAGGAAGGUGGGGAUUACGUCAAAUCAUCAUGCCCCUUAUGAUCUGGGCUACAAACGUGAUACAAUGGCUAUUACAAAGAGUGGCUUAAACGCGAGUUUUUGGCAAAUCUCAAAAAAAUAGUCUUAGUUCGGAUUGAAGUCUGCAACUCGACUUCAUGAAGUUGGAAUCGCUAGUAAUCGCGAAUCAGCAUGUCGCGGUGAAUACGUUCUCGGGGUUUGUACACACCGCCCGUCAAACCACGAAAGUGGACAAUACCCGAAAGCGACAGCCUAACUGCGUAAGC